GAUGAAGAACGUAGUGAAAUGCGAUAAUUAAUGUGAAUUGCAGAAUUCAGUGAAUCAUCGAGUCUUUGAACGCACAUUGCGCCCCCUGGUAUUCCGGGGGGCAUGCCUGUCCGAGCGUCAUUGCUGCCCUCAAGCACGGCUUGUGUGUUGGGCUUCCGUCCCUGGCAACGGGGACGGGCCCAAAAGGCAGUGGCGGCACCAUGUCUGGUCCUCGAGCGUAUGGGGCUUUGUCACCCGCUCCCGUAGGUCCAGCUGGCAGCUAGACUCGCAACCAAUCUUUUUAACCAGGUUGACCUCGGAUCAGGUAGGGAUACCCGCUGAACUUAAGCAUAUCAAUAAGCGGAGGA
rnacentral:misc_RNA from 1 species